CAGGGAUUGCCUUAGUAACGGCGAGUGAAGCGGCAACAGCUCAAAUUUGAAAUCUGGCCCUUGGGUCCGAAUUGUAAUUUGUAGAGGAUGAUUUUGGUGCGGUAUCUUCCGAGUUCCUUGGAACAGGACGCCUUAGAGGGUGAGAGCCCCGUACGGUUGAAUGCCUAGCCUCUGUAAAUCUCCUUCGACGAGUCGAGUAGUUUGGGAAUGCUGCUCUAAAUGGGAGGUAAAUUUCUUCUAAAGCUAAAUAUUGGCCAGAGACCGAUAGCGCACAAGUAGAGUGAUCGAAAGAUGAAAAGCACUUUGAAAAGAGGGUUAAAUAGCACGUGAAAUUGUUGAAAGGGAAGGAUUUGUGACCAGACUUUUUCUGGGCGGAUCAUCCGGGGUUCUCUCCGGUGCACUUUGCCCAGUAAAGGCCAGCAUCGGUUUUCGGCGGGGGAUAAAAGCAGUAGGAAUGUGGCUCUCUACGGGGAGUGUUAUAGCCUAUUGUAUAAUACCCUGCUGGGGACCGAGGUACGCGCUUCUGCAAGGAUGCUGGCGUAAUGGUUAUCAAUCACCCGUCUUGAAACACGGACCAAGGAGUCGAACAUUUGUGCGAGUGUUUGGGUGUUAAACCCUCACGCGUAAUGAAAGUGAACGGAGGUGAGAGCCCUUACGGGUGCAUCAUCGACCGAUCCUGAAGUUUUCGGAUGGAUUUGAGUAAGAGCAUAACUGUUCGGACCCGAAAGAUGGUGAACUAUGCGUGGAUAGGGUGAAGCCAGAGGAAACUCUGGUGGAGGCUCGCAGCGGUUCUGACGUGCAAAUCGAUCGUCAAAUCUGCGCAUGGGGGCGAAA
rnacentral:rRNA from 1 species